GACGUAGGAGGCGAGCGUUAUCCGGAUUCACUGGGCGUAAAGCGCAUGUAGGCGGAUGUCUAAGUCGUGUGUUAAAGCCCCUGGCUCAACUGGGGGUGGUCAUGCGAGACUGGAUGACUUGAGGGCAACAGAGGCACGUGGAACUCCCGGUGUGAGCGGUGGAAUGCGUAGAGAUCGGGAAGAACACCCGUGGCGAAGGCGGCGU
rnacentral:rRNA from 1 species